GAGUUUGAUCAUGGCUCAGGAUAAACGCUGGCGGCGUACAUAAGACAUGCAAGUCGAACGGGAGAAGCUUUAUAGAUUUAUCUUUGAAGUGGACACCGUGGCGGACGGGUGAGUAACACGUAAGCAACCUACCUGUGAGAGGGGGAUAACAGUGAGAAAUUACUGAUAAUACCGCAUAAGCUGACAGUACCGCAUGGUACAGUUAGAAAAGAUUUAUCGCUCAUAGAUGGGCUUGCGUCUGAUUAGCUAGUUGGUGAGAUAACAGCUCACCAAGGCGACGAUCAGUAGCCGGAUUGAGAGGUUGAACGGCCACAUUGGGACUGAGACACGGCCCAGACUCCUACGGGAGGCAGCAGUCGGGAAUAUUGCACAAUGGAGGAAACUCUGAUGCAGUGACGCCGCGUAUAGGAAGAAGGUCUUAGGAUUGUAAGCUAUUGUCGUGCGCGAAGAAAAUGACCAGCGCAGGAGGAGCCCG
rnacentral:rRNA from 1 species